CCCUUAGAUGUUCUGGGCCGCACGCGCGCUACACUGAUGCAUUCAACGAGUCUAAAACCUGCUCUGAUAGGGGUGGGUAAUCUUUUGAAUGUGCAUCGUGAUUGGGAUAGAUGAUUGCAAUUUUUCAUCUUCAACGAGGAAUGCCUAGUAAACGCAAGUCAUCAGCUUGCAUUGAUUACGUCCCUGCCCUUUGUACACACCGCCCGUAGCUCCUACCGAUUGAAUGAUCCGAUGAAUAUCAUGGAUUGAGGAUUAUAGCAGGUUCGCCUGUCUUGAUCUUCGAGAAGUGAAGUAAAUCUUAUCAUUUAGAGGAAGGAGAAGUCGUAACA
rnacentral:rRNA from 1 species